GACAAACGGAUCAAGUCAAGAUUUAUUCAGUAUAAAAGGGGGUUAGAAAGAAUUACAGGUAGAAGAAAGUCUGGUUUAAUUUAUAGAGGUGGAAUUUGUAUAAGUUAGCUUGGUUUUUUAUUUUCUUUGUUUUGAUGCCUCGAAAAUUUAGUGUAAGACCGGGAUUAGAUACCCCGUUAUUUAUUUUUUAAACUUUAAUUGAUGUGAUUUACUUGGGGAUUACGAGCGUGUUUAUUGGUGAUUGACAAUUAAGCAUAUAGCUUAAAACUCAAAAAACUUGGCGGUGCCUUAAUUCCUUCCAGGGGAACCUGUCCUGUAAUCGAUGGUCCACGUUUUAACUUACCUUUUUUUGUAUUAUAGGUUCAGUUAUUUACUUACCAACAGUUUGUAUACCGUCGUCGUCAGAUUAUCUUUGAGAGUAAAAGAAGUUGUCGGUAGAAGAGAGUAUGCUGUUGCUUACUAAUUUAUCUGUAGAGGUUAGAUGCUAUAAGAGCUAUAGCUGUUUAGUUAAGUAAUGGGUAUGUUUUUUGAUGUCAGAUCAAGGUGCAGCUUAUAAAAAGGUAGAGAUGGGUUACAAUAAAUAUUUAAUAUACGAAUUUUGUUCUGUAAUGUUCAAUUGAAGGUGGACUUGGGAGUAAUGCGAUUAUGAGAGUGUUUUGUAAUAGCGAGUUCGCGUGAACAUGGUACUAAGGUGUGU
rnacentral:rRNA from 1 species